rnacentral:rRNA from 1 species
GACGAACGCUGACGGCGUGCUUAACCCAUGCAAGUCGAAGGGAGUGGCGAACGGGUGAGUAACACGUGAGUAACCUGCCCUUUUCUUUUGGAUAAGCCUGGGAAACUGGGUCUAAUACUGGAUGGCUUGGGAUGGGCUCGCGGCUUAUCAGCUUGUUGGUGGGGUGAUGGCUUACCAAGGCUUUGCCGGGUAGCCGGCCUGCAAGUGUGGUCGGUCACGAUGGGACUGAGAGACGGCCCAGACUGCUACGGGUGGCAGCAGUGGGGGAUAUUGCACAAUGGACGGAAGUCUGAUGCCGCGACGUCGGGUGGGGGAGGAAGGCCUUAGGGGUGUAAACUCCUUUCGCCCGCGGAAUGGUAGUGGGUAAAGAAGCGCCGGCUAACUACGUGCCAGCAGCCGCGGUAAUAC